UACGGAGGGUGCGAGCGUUGUCCGGAAUCACUGGGCGUAAAGGGCGCGUAGGCGGCGCGGAUAGUCGGCGGUGAAAGCCCGGAGCUCAACUCCGGGUCGGCCGUCGAUACUUCCGGGCUUGAGCACUGUAGAGGCAGAUGGAAUUCCGGGUGUAGCGGUGGAAUGCGUAGAGAUCGGGAAGAACACCGGUGGCGAAGGCGGUCUGCUGGGCAGUUGCUGACGCUGAUGCGCGACAGCGUGGGGAGCAAACAGG
rnacentral:rRNA from 1 species